rnacentral:misc_RNA from 1 species
GAUGAAGAACGUAGCGAAAUGCGAUAAGUAAUGCGAAUUGCAGAAUCCGUGAGUCAUCGAAUCUUUGAACGCACAUUGCGCCCCUUGGUAUUCCGAGGGGCAUGCCUGUUCGAGCGUCAUUACACCACUCAAGCUAUGCUUGGUAUUGGGCGUCGUCCUUAGUUGGGCGCGCCUUAAAGACCUCGGCGAGGCCACUCCGGCUUUAGGCGUAGUAGAAUUUAUUCGAACGUCUGUCAAAGGAGAGGAACUCUGCCGACUGAAACCUUUAUUUUUCUAGGUUGACCUCGGAUCAGGUAGGGAUACCCGCUGAACUUAAGCAUAUCAAUAAGCGGAGGA